GUCCUCAUAGCUCAGCAGGAUAGAGCAUGCGCCUCCUAAGCGUAAGAUCCAGGUUCGAGUCCUGGUGGGGACGCCA
rnacentral:tRNA from 2 species